AUGGCAAAGCCAGCUCUUGACCAGGACAAAGUUGUGCUGAUCCUAGACACAGUACAAAAAAAGUUCCCUGAUGUUCCAAAAAAGUUCAUCAGGGCAGCACUAAGAGAAAAGUUAAAUGAUGAGCACAAGUUACGAGUAAGGAAAACAGUGUAGAGGCUUCAUUUGGCUGUGAAUUGGUCUCUGCUUCGCUCUGCUCUUACAGUUUCAAUAAAUACAAUAAAUAAUUUGUGAAAAUACAUUGUUUGUUGUGAAGUUAUUCCCCCUGCAUUAAUCCUACAGAAGACAUAAGAAGACCUGUAUAAUUGCAUAUAUAUCCACAACAGUCCUGCAGGA